CCAGUGAGUUUUUAAAAUGUAGUCAGAUGUAGGUUAUAUGAAGUGUUUCCAGUGAGUUCAGUAUUCAUGAAAAAUUGUUCAGUACAACCAAAGUUCAUUCCAACAGUACACUCUACUUCUUCUUUCGUUCAACUUUAUUUCUCUCAUUCUUUGGCGGUGGACCCUUCCUCCUUGCAAGCCUGCCGGUAACCUCAGUGUCACUAAUUGAACCAUCAUUUAGCUUCUUUGUGGCGUAGUCCCACAACAGAG
rnacentral:lncRNA from 1 species